GUUCCUACGGGACGCAGCAGUGGGGAAUAUUGCACAAUGGGGGAAACCCUGAUGCAGCGACGCCGCGUGAGCGAAGAAGUAUUUCGGUAUGUAAAGCUCUAUCAGCAGGGAAGAAAAUGACGGUACCUGACUAAGAAGCCCCGGCUAAAUACGUGCCAGCAGCCGCGGUAAUACGUAUGGGGCAAGCAUUAUCCGGAUUUACUGGGUGUAAAGGGAGCGCAGGCGGCUUGGCAAGUCUGAUGUGAAAGGCUGGGGCUCAACCCCAGGACUGCAUUUGGAACUGUGUGGCUAGAGUGUCGGAGAGG
rnacentral:rRNA from 1 species